rnacentral:rRNA from 1 species
GGUUUAAUUCGAUGAUACGCGAGGAACCUUACCCGGGCUUGAACUGCAGGAGAACGAUUCAGAGAUGAUGAGGUCCUUCGGGACUCCUGUGGAGGUGCUGCAUGGUUGUCGUCAGCUCGUGCCGUGAGGUGUCGGCUUAAGUGCCAUAACGAGCGCAACCCCUCUCCGUAGUUGCCAUCGGGUGAUGCCGGCACUCUGCGGACACUGCCACCGUAAGGUGUGA